AUUGAACGCUGGCGGCAUGCCUUACACAUGCAAGUCGAACGGCAGCACGGGUGCUUGCACCUGGUGGCGAGUGGCGAACGGGUGAGUAAUACAUCGGAACGUACCUUAUCGUGGGGGAUAACGCAGCGAAAGCUGUGCUAAUACCGCAUACGCCUUGAGGGGGAAAGCGGGGGAUCUCAAGACCUCGCGCGACUAGAGCCGCCGAUGCCUGAUUAGCUUGAUGGUGGGGUAAAAGCCCACCAACGCGACGCUCAGUAGCUGGUCUGAGAGGACGAUCAGCCACACUGGGACUGAGACACGGCCCAGACUCCUACGGGAGGCAGCAGUAGGGAAUUUUGGACAAUGGGGGCAACCCUGAUCCAGCAAUGCCGCGUGAGUGAAGAAGGCCUUCGGGUUGUAAAGCUCUUUUGUCAGGGAAGAAACACCGGCUCUAACACAGUCCGGGAAUGACGGUACCUGAAGAAUAAGCACCGGCUAACUACGUGCCAGCAGCCGCGGUAA
rnacentral:rRNA from 1 species